GACGAACGCUGGCGGCGUGCUUAACACAUGCAAGUCGAACGGAAAGGCCCUGCUUUUGUGGGGUGCUCGAGUGGCGAACGGGUGAGUAACACGUGAGUAACCUGCCCUUGACUUUGGGAUAACUUCAGGAAACUGGUGCUAAUACCGGAUAGGAUCUCCUGCUGCAUGGUGGGGGUUGGAAAGUUUCGGCGGUUGGGGAUGGACUCGCGGCUUAUCAGCUUGUUGGUGGGGUGGUGGCUUACCAAGGCUUUGACGGGUAGCCGGCCUGAGAGGGUGACCGGCGACAUUGGGACUGAGAUACGGAACAGAAUCCUACGGGAGGCAGCAGUGGGGAAUAUUGCACAAUGGGCGGAAGCCUGAUGAAGAAACGCAGCGUGCGGGAUGAAGGCGUUCGGGUUGUAAACAGAUUUCGCAUGUGACGAAGCGUGAGUGACGGUAAUGGGUAAAGAAGCACCGGCUAACUACGUG
rnacentral:rRNA from 1 species